rnacentral:lncRNA from 1 species
GUGAGACUGUGAAUUCUUCAAAAGCAGGUACUGUGUUUAAUGAAGUGUGCCCAGGACUUUGCUCAGUGACUGGAUGACACAGUAGGAGUAACAAGAAAGUUCACAUGGGUGAACCGUGGUAGGUGGACAUCGUCUCUCUCACCUCUUCCCAAAUCAAGGAUGAAGUACAUCUUCAUAAAUCCUCAUGUGAAUUAUUUUGCUACCUCUAGAAGCAUUUUCUAAAACAAGGUGCAGCAAUCAGUUGAGUGAAUUUGUCACCAGAGCUUAUGUUUUCUGAAAGAACCCUAUCCUCAGGCAGUUGUUCCUAAGAGGUCAGGCUGCAUUUGUAUCCUGGGUCCACAAGACAUCGUUUCCUUAAAACCAAUCCCCCUGAUUUUGCUAAGAUGAAGAAACUGAGGUCCAGAGAAGUUAAACGACCUUCCUAAGAUUACACAGCUUAGUAAGUGGCAGAACCACAGCUGGAAGCCAGGUCCUUCCUCACGCAAGUCCUGGCUCAUUCAUUCCUCUUCCAAAGACUUGCUGAGCACCUUCUAGGUGCCAGAUGCGGUGCUGGCUCCUGGGGACAUGGGAGUGAACAGGCCAGGCGUGGCCCUGAACCAUCAAAUAGACAACCACAGAAAUAACAACAACAAAGACAAAACCGGGCCCUUCCACACAGUAGCUGGAACACAAAGGAAGAUCAGCCAAGCCUCAACAUAAUCUCAUAAAAAUUCUUCAAAUAUCCCAUUGUUAUGGAUUCAUACAUCAGGAAAGCAGAUGCCAAGAACCUGAACACCUUCUACUGGUAACAUAUAUUUUGGCGAGCCAGCCUGGAGACAAGACCACUAUGGGCAACUUCCUGUCUAUUCUACCUGGUGUCACUGUGGACAACUUCCUAUCUAUUCCACCCGAUUCACCGCUUGGCUACAUCCUCCACCAUUGGGAUGAAUUUGACCCUAACAAUCUAAAGAAAAGGCAUAUGAUUUUUUACUGCAAUAUUGUUUGACACAAUUAUGAGCUGCCCAAUCCGGAACAAUGGGCAGUCAAUGGUAGCCUUAAUUAUGAUACCAUCCUGUAUCUAGACCUAUUUUACAAGAGGCAGGGCAAAUGGUCAGAAGUCCCACAUAUACAGGCCUACAUGACCCUAUACGAAGACCUAAGAAUCUAGGAAACUCCCAGAACCCAUCCCCCGAAGGAAAGUUCUGGGGCAGAACUAGAUAUUAUAGAUGAACCCCCUUUUACAAGGGAUACCUGUCUCUCAGAGUGAGCAGUGACUGUCCCCAUAUAACCCCUCACCAAGUGCUCCUGAGGCUGAAACCCAGGGGCAAACAUGGGGAACCCUACUAAGUCCCCCUCACACUUGGAGGGGAACACUGUAUUCAACUCUCUAUCCAGCCCUGCUACUCUCAGAGAAAUAGCAGGGGCUGAGGGGCCAAUCCUAGUGUGGGUCCCCUUCUCUAUGAUUGAUAUACAACAAUGUAAGGAAAAGCUAGGAAGCUAUUCUGAGGAUUCCGGGAAGUUUGCAGAUGGGUUCCAAACUUUGACCUUAGCCUUUGAUCUCUCAUGGAGAGACGUUCAAUUCACUCUAGCAACCUGUUGCACCUCCUCGGAAAAGGAACGAAUCUUUGAGGCUGCCCUCCGAGAAGUGGACGAAUUAUUCACCCAAAACCGUAAAGGCAGUCACCCAGGCCCAGCCACAGUUCCCACUACGCAUCCUAAUUGAGACCAAGACACCCCCGCAGGAAGGAACAACUGGGCUAAAUUUCUUGAGGCUCUUGGAGGAAUGAGAAAGGGAAUAACUAAGGCAGUAAAUUAUGAUAAAGUAAGGCAGAUUACACAAGGCAGGGAGGAAAACCCAGCUGUGUUUUACGGCAGGCUGCGGGAAGCCUUUAAAAAAUAUAUACUAAUUUGGUCCCUUCCUCUCCUGAAGGCAAGUUAUUAAUGGCACAACGUUUCAUUAGCCAAUCCACACCAGACAUUAGACGUAAGCUCCAAAAGCUACACAUGGGGCCACAAACUAACCAAAAUCAGCUUCUUGGUACUGCCUUCAUGGUGUAUAACAAUCGUGACCUGGAGGAAGGAGAAGGGAAACAGAGUAAAGAAAAACGGCAAGCCAAAAUUAUGUUAGCCAUCACUGGUGAUGCCCUAAAUGCACAAAGAUUGUCCAAGGGAAACUCAAAGGGCCAUAAGGAUAAUGCCAGCAAAGGCUCUUGCUUCAAAUGCAAUAAAAGUGCGAUUGGGCACAGGAAUCCACUAAGCCCCCGCCAGUCCCCUGCCGUCAAUGUAAAAGCACCAGUUGUGGCUCCUGGCCCUGGAGAAUUGACUGUCCCUGCUCCCACCAAGGGGCUCAGUCAGUCAAAACUCUGGCAGUGCACAAGGAGGAAUCAGAUGAAGACUGAAGGGGCCUGGGGCCUUCCUCACUGCCCCGUCUAGGAACAUUGUAAUUACUACUGAGGAACCCUGGGUAACUCUGGACAUCAUGGCCACCCAAAUUCAGUUUUUAUGUGAUACCAAGGUGAAUUAUUCUGUACAACUGCUUAUGCAGGAAAACUUUCCUCCCGGUCCAUGAGUGAUAUUGGAUGGAAGGGAAGCCACAAACAAGAUUCUUACUCCUCCUUUGGUUUGUCAAUUUGAGAAACAAAUCUUCCAACAGGAAUUUUUAGUAGUACCAAGCUGCCCAAUUCCCCUGUGGGAAAGAGAUAUUAUGGUGAAAAUAGUGACACUACUGCAAUUUAAGCAAUAUUAGCAGGUGAAACUGCUAAUAGUAAGAAAUAAGGCAAUGUCCCAGACCAUGUCAAUAAACAGGUUAACCCACUGGCAUGGUAUACUGGAAACCCAGGGAAGGCUAAAACAGCAGUGCCAGUCAAAAUACAGCUUAAAGACCCCAGCCAUUUUCCCAAUGGAAAACAAUACCCAGUUGAACAGGAAGCAAGCAAAGGUCUAGCUCCCAUAGUUGAGAUAUUACUUACCCAUGGACUCUUAAAACCCUGCAAUUCUCCCUGCAAUACCCCCAUCUUACCUGUUCUCAAGCCUGGGGGGAAUACCAGCUAGUACAGAACCUCAGAAUAAUGAAUGAGGCUGUUAUCCCCGUCCACCCAUUGGUGGCAGAUCCAUAUGCCCUCCUGGCUCAGGUGCCAGGGCAUGCAAAAUGGUUCUCAGUCCUAGACCUUUCUUCUCCAUUCCUCUGGCCCCGAGCCCCCCAGUACCUUUUUGCUUUCGAAUGGGAAAAUCCUAAUACCAGAUAAAAACAAUACACUUGGACAGUGCUUCCUCAGGGCUUUCGGGAUAGCCCCCACUUCUUUGCCUGAGCAUUAGAGCGGGAUCUGAGGGAUUUCAAGUUAGAAAAUGGAGGUAUUCUUCAGUAUGGGGAUGACCUUGUGUGUAGCCCAACCUAGGAGGUUUCUGACCAAAAUACUAUAAAAACUUUGAAUUUCCUGGCAGACAGAGGAUACAAAGUGUCCAAAAAGAAGGCUCAGAUUACCCUCCAAUGGGUCCACUAUUUAGGAUAUGUCUUAACACCCGGAACCCGGCAAAUAUCCCCAGAAGGAGUGCAAGCUAUAUGUGGUUUGGCCGCGUGCACCACCCCCAGCCCCCACCCUGACCCACCUCCAAGCAGCAGCUUUGUUCCUUUUUGGGGAUGGCCGGGCUUUGGAGAAUAUGAGUACCAAAUUUUGGGCUCAUAGCAAAGCCCCUAUAUGAAGCAACAAGGGGGCCUGAAAAUGAGCUAAUGGAAUGGACCCCGGAAAUGAGGAAAGCCUUUGCCAAGUUAAAACAGGUUCUCACCCAGGCUCCUGCUCUUGGUAUCCCAGACCUAAUUAAGGCCUUCUCCUUGUAUGUAGCAGAGAAGAGGGGCAUAGCUGUGGGAGUGCUAGCCCAGAAAUUAGGAUCAGAACCCAGACCAACCGCCUACUUCUCAAAAAAGUUGGACGGAGUGGCCUCAGGAUGGCCAAGUUGCCUGCGGGCAAUAGCAGCCACUGCUGUUAGUGGAGGAAGCCACUAAAAUCACCCUAGGGCAACCACUGGAAGUUCUAACGCUCCAUCAGGUAAAGUUAGUCUUAGAAAUAAAGGGACACAUCUGGAUGACAGGGGAAAUGUUAACUAAAUACCAGCCCAUGCUCCUAGACAAUCCAGAUAUAACUCUUAAAACCUGCAACACUUUAAAUCCAGCUUCAUUGCUGCCCACAGGCCCAAUAAUUGAUCAUUCCUGUGAGCAGGUCAUUGCACAUACAUAUGUUAGCCAGCCUGAUUUAAAAGAUGAGGCUCUCCCAGAUUCUGAAGCUGACCGGCUCACAGACGGCAGUAGUUCUUUGUCGAAUGGGGAGCACAGAGCUGGAUAUGCAGCAGUAAAUCAUGACACAAUUAUUGAAGCCCAGCCAGUGCCCCCUGGCACAUCAGCACAAAAGGCUAAAAUCAUUGAUCUUACUCAAGCAUUAAUGUUGGGACAAGGGAAAAAACUUAACAUCUAUACAGAUUCUAAAUAUGCAUUCCUUGUGGUUCAUGCUCAUACCGCCAUCAGGAAAGAAAGGGGAUUACUUACUAGCAAGCACUCCCCUAUAGAGCAUGGACCUGAAAUUCUGCAGCUAUUGAAGGCAAUACACCUGCCAAAGGCCAUAGCUAUCAUUCAUUGUAGGGGGCAUCAAAGGGACUUAACCCCUAUAGCACAAGGGAAUGGAAAGGCUGACGGAAGCCAAAGCAAAAGCCCUCAGCGUGCAAUCCCAACAGAUCCUAGCACUGCUUCCUUUCUACAAUUCCCCAGUAGAACCCAAAUACACACCACAGGAAGAACAGCUAAUAAAAAAAGCAAGGGAGACAAAAACAAGGAUCCUGGUGGCAUAUGGAGCCAAAAAUAUAUCUCCCUCAGGCAGCCCAGUGGAGAGUUAUAAAAGCCCUGCAUGACUCUUUCCAUGUGGGGAGGGAUGCGGCUCUGGCCAUGGUAAACAAGUUCUUUACUGGGUUUAACUCAGCUUCAAUGGCUAAGCAGGUCUGUCAAGCCUGCUCACUGUGUGCAUUUAACAAUCCAGGCAUCAAAAUGCCCCCUCUAAUAAAACCAGUCCAAAGGAGGGGAACUUAUCCAGGGGAAGACUGGCAGUUAGACGUCAUCCAUAUGCCAGCUUGCAGAGGAUACAAGCUUUUGUUAAUACUAAUAGAUACUUUUAGGUUGGGUCAAAGGUUACCCCAGAAAAGGCUAAUGAGGUUCUAAGGUCCUCUUAAAAGAAAUAAUUCCCCAGUUUGGGUUACCUCAGGGUCUCCAAAGUGAUAAUGGCUAAUCCUUUAUCUCCCAAAUAACUCAAGGGGUUGCUAAGGCUCUUGGAAUAAAAUACUAUUUACAUUCAGCCUGGAGGCCCCAAUCCUCUGGAAAAGUGGAAAGGGUUAACCAAACUCUAAAAUAAGCACUAGCUAAACUAUGUCAGGAAACAUCAGAAACUUGGGUUAGCUUAUUGCUCACAGCCCUUUUAAGAAUUUGUAAUACCCCUAGCUCAAAAAUUAACAGAAGCCCAUAUAAAAUGUUAUACAGAAGGCCAUUCUUAACUAAUGAUUUAAUUAUUGACCCAGAAAGAGUUGGUGUAAUUAAAUACCUAGUCAACCCAGAACAAUUCCAGCGGGUUUACAAGAGUUUGGAAUUCAAAGGCUCCUCACACUUGGAACUAACCAGCAACCCAAAAUCAGGCCAGGAGAUAGGGUACUUGUUAAAACAUGGAAUGAGGGAUCACCUGCCCAACAAUUACAACCCCAAUAGAAGGGACUUUUUUCAGUAAUACUGGCCACGUCUUCUGUGGUCAAAGUACUAGUAUUAGAUAGCUGGAUACAUCUUUCAAGGAUCAAACCAUCAAUACCAGAAGCUCCAGACCAGGAACCUGAAGUUCCCAUCAGCCAGUACACCUGUGAACCAGUGGAGGACCUGAAGUACCUGUUUAAAAGAUAGCCAAAAGAUAAGUAAAUGCCUACCAACUUUCUUUGGUGUCUUUGUUGCAUAGUUACUGUGGGCUGGAAAAUAGUAGCCAUUUUUAUCUUUGCAGUUUAAUUGCCUUCUUCCAAAUAGAUAAAAAUCACUUCCUUUGUAAUAAUUAAACAGAAUUUAAAAAAUACAUUUCUAUGACAAAUAUUCCUGAUGGCAUAAGUAUCCACCCCAAGGUUCCCAUUAAAUCUUUUAACCUAAAGUAUUUCCUCUCACCUAGAGAUCAUCGAGCUGUGUGACAAGGGUGCCAGCCACUCCAGGUGAAGACACCACCCCAGGCCAUCAAGGAUCUUCCCUACCUUCACUAAACAGAGCAGGGUGAAAGUUGUGUGAUCCCCAAUAGGUAGGGACUACACCCCAAGUCAGCAGGAAGCAGUUACAGAAGAAAGACCAUUGGUCCCUCUGCUUCCCAUAAAGAUUUAUGGGGAUCACAGCUUUCACGGGGGAGAUGAGGCAAGAGAAUAGGGCAUGCAGGCAGGGUACUUGAGGCCAAUCCACGCUGACUUCCUAGAACUGAAUUAAAUGAAAGCUCCUCAGCAAUGACAGGAAUGUGAAUGGCUUUGUAACUUCUUCCUCUCCAUUAAUGCUAUUUCCACUUUGUAACUUCACUUUCAUCCUCUCCAUUUACAUAGAUCACACACCAAGUAACAUCCUCUCCAUUUACAGUAGGGCGCAUUCCGAGUCAAUGACUCUGACUGCACUUCGUUCUCCUCAUUUACAUAGAACAUUCGCCAAGUAACCAAUGGGAAACCUCUAGAGUAUUGAAACUCCAGAAAAUUCCGUAAGUGGGGCUCUUGAGCGUCUACACUCGGGUCGCUCCCACACUGUGGCGUGUACUUUUAUUCUCAAUAAAUUCCCGCUUUUGCUUUCCUCGUUC